UCAAGCAACUAAGCGCAUACGGUGGAUGCCUUGGCAGUCAGAGGCGAUGAAAGACGUGGAAGCCUGCGAUAAGGUUCGGGGAGCUGGCAAACAAGCUGUGAUCCGGGCAUUUCUGAAUGGGGAAACCCACCGACUUUCGGGUCGGUAUCUUACACUGAAUCCAUAGGUGUAAGAGGCGAACCGGGGGAACUGAAACAUCUAAGUACCCCGAGGAAAAGAAAUCAACCGAGAUUCCCUAAGUAGCGGCGAGCGAACGGGGAUUAGCCCUUAAGCUAAACAACUGGUAGGAGAAGGCUCUGGAAAGUGCCGCCAUAGUGGGUGAUAGCCCCGUAUCCGAAACCUGAGUUUAGUGAAAUCGAGUAGGACGGGACACGUGGUAUCCUGUCUGAAUAUGGGGGGACCAUCCUCCAAGGCUAAAUACUCCUGACUGACCGAUAGUGAACCAGUACCGUGAGGGAAAGGCGAAAAGAACCCCUGUGAGGGGAGUGAAAUAGAUCCUGAAACCGUAUGCGUACAAGCAGUCGGAGCGGACUUGUUCCGUGACGGCGUACCUUUUGUAUAAUGGGUCAGCGACUUAUGUUCAGUGGCGAGGUUAACCGUUUAGGGGAGCCGUAGGGAAACCGAGUCUGAAUAGGGCGAUUUAGUCGCUGGGCAUAGACCCGAAACCGGGCGAUCUAUCCAUGAGCAGGUUGAAGGUUGAGUAACAUCAACUGGAGGACCGAACCCACUGUCUUUGAAAAGCCAGGGGAUGACUUGUGGAUCGGAGUGAAAGGCUAAUCAAGCCCGGAGAUAGCUGGUUCUCCUCGAAAUCUAUUUAGGUAGAGCGUCGAUCGAAUACUCUUGGGGGUAGAGCACUGACUGGGCUAGGGGUCCUCACCGGAUUACCAAACCUUAUCAAACUCCGAAUACCAAGAAGUACUAAUCGGCAGACACACGGCGGGUGCUAACGUCCGUCGUGGAGAGGGAAACAACCCUGACCACCAAUUAAGGUCCCCAAAUAAUGGCUAAGUGUGAAAGGAUGUGGGAUUGCUUUGACAAUGAGGAGGUUGGCUUAGAAGCAGCCAUCCUUUAAAGAAAGCGUAACAGCUCACUCAUCAAGCGAUCCUGCGCCGAAAAUGUAACGGGGCUAAAGCCAUUUACCGAAAUUGUGGGCUCGAAAGAGCGGUAGCGGAGCGUUCCGUAAGCCUGCGAAGGUGCACUGCGAGGUGUGCUGGAGGUAUCGGAAGUGAGAAUGUUGACAUGAGUAGCGACAAAGCGGGUGAGAGACCCGCUCGCCGAAAAUCCAAGGGUUCCUGCGUAAAGCUAAUCUGCGCAGGGUUAGCCGGCCCCUAAGGCGAGGCCGAAAGGCGUAGCCGAUGGGAACCACGUUAAUAUUCGUGGGCCAAGGGAUGAGUGACGGAUUUCGAAAGUUGUAGCCCCUUAUUGGAUUGGGUCUGCAGCCUGGAAGUUCCUGGAAAUAGCCUCCCAUUAAGACCGUACCCGAAACCGACACAGGUGGUCAGGUAGAGAAUACCAAGGCGCUUGAGAGAACGAUGCUGAAGGAACUCGGCAAAUUACCUCCGUAACUUCGGGAGAAGGAGGCCUCACU
rnacentral:rRNA from 1 species